UAGGGAAUCUUCCACAAUGGACGCAAGUCUGAUGGAGCAACGCCGCGUGAGUGAAGAAGGUUUUCGGAUCGUAAAGCUCUGUUUUUGGUGAAGCAGUAUAGAGGCAGUAACUGGUCUUUAUUUGACGGUAAUCAACCAGCAAGUCACGGCUACCUACGUGCCAGCAGCCGCUGUAAUACGUAGGUGUCAAGCUUUGUCCGGAUUUAUUGGGCGUAAAGCGAGCGCAGGCGGAAUGAUAAGUCUGAUGUGAAAGCCCACGGCUCAACCGUGGAACUGCAUAGGAAACUGUAAGUAUUGAGUGCAGAAGAGGAGAGUGGAAGUCCAUGUGUAGCGGUGGAAUGCGUAGAGAUAGGGAAGAACACCAGUGGAGAAGGCGGCUCUCUGGUCGGCAAAUGAAGCUGAGGCUCGAAAGCAUGGGGAGAGAACAGG
rnacentral:rRNA from 1 species